rnacentral:rRNA from 1 species
UACGUAGGUCCCGAGCGUUGUCCGGAUUUAUUGGGCGUAAAGCGAGCGCAGGUGGUUUAUUAAGUCUGGUGUAAAAGGCAGUGGCUCAACCAUUGUAUGCAUUGGAAACUGGUAGACUUGAGUGCAGGAGAGGAGAGUGGAAUUCCAUGUGUAGCGGUGAAAUGCGUAGAUAUAUGGAGGAACACCGGUGGCGAAAGCGGCUCUCUGGCCUGUAACUGACACUGAGGCUCGAAAGCGUGGGGAGCAAACAGGAUUAGAUAC